AGAACGAACGCUGGCGGCAGGCCUAACACAUGCAAGUCGAACGCCCCGCAAGGGGAGUGGCAGACGGGUGAGUAACACGUGGGAACAUACCCUUCGGUUCGGAAUAACUCAGGGAAACUUGAGCUAAUACCGGAUACGUCCUGGCGGAGAAAGAUUUAUCGCCGAAGGAUUGGCCCGCGUCCGAUUAGCUAGUUGGUGAGGUAAUGGCUCACCAAGGCGACGAUCGGUAGCUGGUCUGAGAGGAUGAUCAGCCACAUUGGGACUGAGACACGGCCCAAACUCCUACGGGAGGCAGCAGUGGGGGAAUAUUGGACAAUGGGCGCAAGCCUGAUCCAGCCAUGCCGCGUGAGUGAUGACGGCCUUAGGGUUGUAAAGCUCUUUCGUCAGGGACGAUAAUGACGGUACCUGAAGAAGAACGCCCGGCUAACUACGUGCCAGCAGCCGC
rnacentral:rRNA from 1 species